CUGGCCCUGGGAGGACUUUUCUGAAUCCAGACCAGAGCUAGGAAGACCCAGUUGAGACAGCGGACACUAGAGCAGCCUGGAAGGGAACACCUGCCUACGAAGCCCCUAGGAGCAUGAGGUGUUUCCUCCCACAGCUUCCUGUCCUGCCCAGGGCUAAGAGGACAAGACUGGCAGAAGGACAACCAGCAAUGCUGAGGGACUGUGGCUCAAGGCACUGAUGUCAUUGCCUUGGGUUGCAGGAGUCUAACUCUGUCACCUAGGCUGGAGUGCAGUGGAGCAAUUGCGGCUCACUGCAGCCUCAACUUCCUGGGCUCAAGCAAUCCUCCCACCUCAGCCUCAUGAGUAGCUUGGACUACAGUGCCCGAGGGGCAAAACUGCAGCAGAGUGGCUCCUGUAUCCUCAGCACUCAACAUGGACCCCGUUGUUGGUGUUCAAGAAACAUUUGAGGAGCUGCACUUACUUGGAAUGAGAAAAAGUUACACCCAUGACCUCCAGGUAAAGCAGACAGCAAAUGGCAUAAGUGAAGGGCCCUGCAGCAGCCACAGACACAGGCCUGGGGAAAUAGAGGAUCCCAGAUGGAAGAGCUGCCACUUACUGGGCACCGCCCUGUGCCAAACCCAACACCGUGUGCACUCUGUAGACUCUCAUUGAAUCCCUAAAUCCUUCCGUGGUAUGGAUUAUUAUCUCCAUUUUACUAAUGAGGCCAUUAAAGCUCAGAAGAUUAAGUAACGUGACCAGUAUAAAGUACAAGAAAAUGACAGAUUCCGAUUUUUUUUUUUUUUUUUGAGACAGGGUCUCUCUCUCUCUCUCUCUCUCUUUCUCUCUCUGUUGCCCAGGCUGGAGUGCAGUGAUCCAAUCACAGCUCACUGUAGCCUUGACCUCUAGGUUCAAGCAAUCCACCCCCACUCAGCCUCCCACAUAGCUAGGACCAUAGGUGUGCACCACCAUGCCCAGCUCCUUUUCUUUUUUUUUUCUUUGGUAGAGACGGGGUUCUCACUAUGUUGCCUGGCUGAUCUUGAACUCCUGGACUCAAGCAAUCCUCCCACCUCAGCCUCCCAAAGUGCUGAGAUUACAGGCAUGAGCCACUGCAGAUUCAGAUUUUGAGCACUUGUCUAGCUGAUUUCAAAGCCUGUCCUCUUUCCACAAUCAGGUCUUAAGUCAUAUCCUGAAGAGUUUGUCAUUGCUCUUCCAGGAAUCCGAUCCCCACUGGACAGGCUGGGAAGGUCUGGGCUGCUAGUGGUGUUGCAGAUAGACUCCCAGGCAGCUGAUGGAGGUGUGGAAUGAAGAGCGUGAGAGAUAACAGAAGCAGGCAUGGCAGUGCUACCCAGCAGAGCCAUGUGACAGAGGCGGGGAUGCUGCCGUGGGUUGUCCAGCAAAUAGAGAUGCCAGGCCUGAGGCUUGAUUCUCUCAGACCUUCUGCCUCUGGCAG
rnacentral:lncRNA from 1 species